UUUGUCAGGCAAGCAAGGGAAAGGAGACUGUCUGGUGAGAGAUACUGGAUCAGCCAGCAAAAGCCUAGAAUGUCCCUAAACAGUCCCUAAAUAUGAGAAGCCAUGAGAGGUUGCUGAACUCUUCCUAAGAAGGUUAUACAUGUUCCAAAUCAAGCAACACUUUAAAACCUGCAGGAGGAUGGAGAGUGUUUGGGUGGACACCCAGGGGACAGAAGAGGAAGCUGCCAGGAGAACAGGUUAUGUAUCUCCUUUAAGCAGGGGUAGAAUCUAGUGUUGAAGUGUGUUAUUAUCAGAUUUUCUGUGGGUACUGGGGCAGAGAGAAGGGCAUGGGAAACCUCACCGUGGUAGCUGUAGGGGGAGACAAGGGUAUCAGAGAUUACCUGCCCCAUCCCACUCCAAAGCCUGUGGGCUGCCGGAGGCGCUGAUAUGGACACACACAGAGGGUGCACUGGCUUGUGAAGGGUGAGUAUGUGGGAACUAAGUUGUACCACUGUGGCCUACCAGCCCAGUCACUUGUGCUGGGGGCUCUUCCUGCUCCUGUCUUGCCCCGUGAUCCAGCCCAGCUCAAAUUUCCCCGGUUGAUGGGCAGCACAGACAGAAGACAGAAGCCCAAGCUAGAAUGUGGUCUUCUCAAACACAGCCUCACAGACUGUGGGGAACACAUGGAUUCUUGAAUAACAAUGAGGGGGCGGGGUAUACACAGCAGCCUAGCAUCCUCAUAGGGUGGGAGGAGAUAGGGAUCACACUUCUUGUCUGUGGAGGGCCAGAAGCCCCAAGAGGACCACGGAGUCAAAGCAGAAGCAACAGUUUCAGAACAGGGAGGAGUCAGACUGUGAGUCUCCAGGAGCAGCCAGCCGAGCCUGGCAAAGCAGCCUUGGUGGCUACUCCUGUGAACUGCUGCAGAAACAGGAGGGGCAGAGGUUGUAGGAGGUAGGGAGAAGGGGAAGGACUUUUAAGAAUGGGAAGUCUUAGCCAGACGUAGUAGCUGGCAUGCGUGAUCCCAGCACUCCGGCUCUCUGAUGCUGGCUCUGACGUGACAGGUCUGGGAGGGUCUUCGAUUCCGAAUUUGUCACAAGCUACCAAUGUCAAUGCUGCUGAUCCAGGAGCCAUACUAUGAGGGGCAAGGUUUAGAGUCAUCUAAAGGGAUGUAGAGGCCAGUUGGAAAAGAAUUCCUUUUGAGAAACCUGCUUUUGAUUAUUCUGUGAGUAAAGGCCAAGACCGUGAGAAGUCUGCGUGAGACUGGCAGUGCCCCUUCUUCCUCCUUCACAGGUGACAGGUGUUGAAAAACUGGGCAAAAAAGAGGGAGAGUAGAGACCCAGGAGGUCAGGAGAAGAGGCAGAGGAACUCUAGUGUCACUGGGGUCCUUUCUGUGGAUCAGUGCUAGGCAGGAUAUUAAGGGCUGACGUGGAGCAUCCCCCAUCUCACCCCCAGGAAGGUGAAGAUCUCAGAGUGCAAAGAGCAGCAUGAACAAGGCCACCCAACCUUUUGCUGUUCUGCAGGAAACUGCUGGACUCAAACCAAGGUUUGCUGAUAGCCCCAAGGUCGAAGGCCAGAUGAUUUCUGUGCAGAUAUAAAAGAUGAACGGACUCAGAAAGAAGGCUGGAGAAAAGGAGGUGAGCUGGACUUAGGUUUAAGAGCCCAGCUCACCUGAGCCUUUCAGAAACGUCUACUUGCUUUCAGAAGCAAGAGAUUUCUCAAAAACUCAGGUGGGAAUGUAAACUUAAGUUUAGGUAAUCCAGGGACAGGAACAAGAAUGGGAGGUGCAGGACUCGGGUAGCUCAGCUUGCCUGGGGCCGCAUCUUCACCACAAGGUGAGAGACCCUUAAGCGCUAAGGCGCGGAGGUUAAGCCGAGGUCAAGUGGCACCAAGGGUGCAGCGACUCCUAGAAUCAAGCGUUGGCUGAGGAGAGGGCGGCGCAUACUUAGGAGAAGAAGAUGGGACCACAAAGAUGCUGGAGCUUCGUCUGGUGGCGACGGGGAGGCCGUGGUGAUUCCCCAGCGUGGUGUGGACGAGCUGCCCUGCUUAGGCCGGGCUUCCUCGCCGCGCAGCCCCCAGCCCAUCCUUUCCCCAUCUUCCCUGGCCUGGGCCAGCUUCCCGGCGCCCCUCCACCGAGGCCGUGGCCCCCAGCCCGGCUACGGACUCGUCAGGGUCCGCCCCGCCGCCGCGGCCCCAGCCCGGCCGCUCCUCCCCCGAUGAUGUCACGUCCCUGGCCGCCCCUCGGCCGGCCUCGCGCCCCGCCCCCGCCUCCCCUGGCCCCGAGUCCCCUGGGCCCACCCGCUUGCGACAGCCCUCCUCUUGCCCGUGCUCCCUCCCUACGGCUCCCGCUCCCCAGGGAGCGGCGGCGGCGGCGGGAUGGCCAGGGCCCGCGGCCAGGCCCCGGGGAGCGGCGGGCGGCGGCGGCCGCGGCGGGGAGGCGCGGGGACCGGGCCCCGGGGGGACUCGGCCGGUCUGCUGCUGCUCCUGCUGCAGGUGCUGCCGCCCGGGGCAGCGGCAGGCCCGGGGCGCCGGGGCACUCGGGGGCCUGGCGGCGGCUGCGUCUGCUGGCCCGGCGCCGGCCCUGCUUUUCCACGGGACGCGCGUCUGCUGCUGUUGCUGCCGCCCCGGCCACCACCGUCGCCGCCGCCGACCUCCACGGCCGCAGCCUCCCCCUCUCGGAUGGACGCUCUGCCCCGCGGUGGGCUCCAUCUGAAAGAGGAGCCGCUGCUGCCCUCCAGCCUGGGCUCGGUGCGCUCCUGGAUGCAGAGCGCGGGCAUCCUGGACUCCAACACCGCGGCGCAGAGUGGCGUGGGCCUGGCAAGAGCACAUUUUGAAAAGCAGCCCCCCUCCAACCUCAGGAAGUCCAACUUCUUCCACUUCGUGCUGGCCAUGUACGACCGGCAGGGGCAGCCCGUGGAGGUGGAGCGCACAGCCUUCAUCGACUUCGUGGAAAAGGAUCGAGAGCCUGGGACGGAAAAGACAAACAACGGGAUCCAUUACCGCCUUCGGCUGGUGUAUAAUAAUGGACUUCGGACAGAGCAAGACCUCUACGUGCGCCUUAUUGACUCCAUGUCGAAGCAGGCUAUCAUCUAUGAGGGACAGGACAAGAAUCCUGAGAUGUGCCGAGUGCUGCUCACUCAUGAGAUCAUGUGCAGCCGGUGCUGUGACCGCAAGAGCUGUGGUAACCGGAAUGAGACGCCUUCUGAUCCAGUCAUUAUUGACAGGUUCUUCCUCAAAUUCUUUCUCAAAUGCAACCAGAACUGCUUGAAGAAUGCCGGGAAUCCCCGAGACAUGCGCCGCUUCCAGGUGGUGGUGUCCACGACCGUGAGUGUGGAUGGCCAUGUGCUGGCUGUGUCGGACAACAUGUUUGUGCACAACAACUCCAAGCAUGGACGCAGAGCCCGACGCCUGGACCCUUCUGAAGCUGCCACCCCCUGCAUCAAGGCCAUCAGCCCAGGGGAGGGCUGGACCACGGGAGGCGCCACCGUCAUUAUCAUCGGAGACAACUUCUUCGACGGGUUGCAGGUCGUGUUUGGCAACGUGCUCCUGUGGAGCGAGCUCAUCACUCCCCAUGCUAUCCGGGUGCAGACACCACCCCGACACAUCCCUGGGGUAGUAGAAGUGACCCUCUCCUACAAGUCCAAGCAGUUCUGUAAAGGAGCCCCUGGCCGCUUUGUCUACACAGCCCUGAAUGAACCCACCAUUGACUACGGAUUCCAGAGGCUCCAGAAAGUUAUUCCCAGACACCCCGGAGACCCUGAGAGGCUACCCAAGGAAGUGCUGCUGAAAAGGGCGGCUGACUUGGCGGAGGCCCUGUACGGAGUGCCCAGCAGUAACCAGGUAUGGCGCCUCUGCCCGCCUCCCAGCGCGAGGGGCCGGGGCUCUGAUCCUGCGCCUGCCGCUGCCCCGGCCGUGCCCCGUUCUUGUCUUCGCAGGAGCUCCUCCUGAAACGUGCGGCGGACGUGGCCGAGGCUCUGUACAGCGCCCCGCGCGCGCCUGCACCACUCGGACCCCUGGCCCCCAGCCACCCGCACCCCGCCGUCGUGGGUAUCAAUGCCUUCAGCAGCCCUCUGGCCAUCGCCGUCGGGGAUACCACACCGGAGCCGGGCUAUGCCCGUAGCUGCGGCAGCGCGUCUCCCCGGUUCGCGCCCAGCCCCGGCUCUCAGCAGAGCAGCUAUGGCAGUGGCCUUGGAGCCGGCCUCGGUAGCUAUGGCGCGCCUGGUGUGACUGGCCUUGGCGUGCCCGGGUCCCCUAGCUUCCUCAAUGGCUCCACCGCAACCUCACCUUUCGCCAGAAGACCACAUCCCAGGGAGGCCUGAGCCAGCAGCCUGGUCUGCAGGGACUCACUGCCCACGUGACACCGCAACCCUGCUGCUCACUCUGGUGCCGUCUCCCUGUUGUGUCUCCCACUGCCUUCCUUGCCGCACCUGCCCCUUCCUCGCCCCGCCCCGGAGUCAUGCCCUCUAGCCCCCCGCUGGCGGCUGCCUCCUCCAUGUCCCUUCCGGCCGCCGCCCCCACCACCAGCGUCUUCUCCUUCUCGCCUGUCAACAUGAUCUGCGCUGUCAAGCAGAGGAGCGCCUUCGCCCCUGUGCUGCGCCCACCCAGUUCCCCAUCGCAGGCCUGCCCCAGAGCCCACAGAGAGGGGCUUCCAGACCAGCCUUUUGAAGAUACUGACAAGUUCCACUCUGCAGCCCGGGGACUCCAGGGCUUGGCAUACUCCUAAUUAUGGUCCGCAGGUGCUGUCCCCAACAGGGCUGGACUGGAGGUCUUUCUGGACUCACGUUCGUGGCCGGAUGGCAGGGCUUCGGGUGGACCUCGACCCCUGGGAUACACAGGGAGAGGCCUUCACCUCUGUGCUGGAGGCCCCUCACACCCACAGACCCUCAUACUUACCUCUCUUUCUCGGGACACAUUAGAACCUCAGCACUGUGAGGACGCUCUUGGCAGGAGAGCAUCGUAGGGAGGAGGUGUUGGGAUGUCGGGCCUUACUACUGGAUCAAUUCCUCUAUAAGAGGAAUUUUGUGCAGACCAGGGAUGUUGGUAAGAUGAGCAAGAACUGAGAACUGUGGGAAAGAGGACAGCUCAGGGAGAGGUCAUCUAGAGAGGCCCUGUUUGCAUCUGACCAAUCAUACCUGACCUAAUAGCCGCCUUCUCUCCUGCCAGCAAGGUGUCUAGCAGUCUCAGGAGGCCCAUUCAGGCUCCCAUGGAGCUGCCCACGAGCCACUGGACCCCAUUGGCUGCCUUCACUUCCUCCUCUGAGAGUAGCACAUUCAUGCUGAUCAUAUCCCACCUCCCUUUGGGGGUUUUAGGCAUGGAAGAUGCACAGAAGGGCCUCCUGGAUUUUGACUCUGACCCCAAUAGAUGUUUCAUGAAAUUUGUCCCCCUACCACCACACACCCAGCUCUAGCUGGCCCCAAAGAACAGCCUGGCCAUGCCUUGGUGGCCUCACACUCUGAUGAGUUUGGACAAAAUGGAACAAUAAAACCAGAUGCAGGUGGCCACGUGGCCUCUUGUGCCUGC